UGACACCUACGGGGGGCAGCAGUAGGGAAUUUUCGUCAAUGGGCGCAAGCCUGAACGAGCGAUGCCGCGUGAGUGAAGAAGGCCUUCGGGUCGUAAAGCUCUGUUGCGGGGGAAAAAAGGCAGCAUCAGGAAAUGGGUGCUGACUGAUGGUGCCCCGCCAGAAAGUCACGGCUAACUACGUGCCAGCAGCCGCGGUAAUACGUAGGUGGCGAGCGUUAUCCGGAAUGAUUGGGCGUAAAGGGUGCGCAGGCGGACCUGCAAGUCUGGAGGGAAACGCAUGAGCUCAACUCAGUCA
rnacentral:rRNA from 1 species